rnacentral:tRNA from 1 species
GGUCUCCUAGCUCAGUUGGCUAGAGCAUUGGCCUUUCCCCUUGCUAGCGUGGGUACGAAUCCCACCGUGGCCG